UAAGGAAUAUUGCUCAAUGGGAGAAAUCCUGAAGCAGCAACGCCGCGUGGAGGAUGAAGGGUCUAUGACUUGUAAACUCCUGUAAAGAAGGAAAAAAUUCCCAUUAGAUGGGAGAUGAUGGUACUUCUGGAGUAAGCCCCGGCUAACUACGUGCCAGCAGCCGCGGUAAUACGUAGGGGGCAAGCGUUGUCCGGAUUUACUGGGUGUAAAGGGUGCUCAGGCGGAUUUGUAAGUCAGAGGUGAAAUUUUCAGGCUCAACCUGAACACUGCCGUUGAAACUGGGAUUCUUGAGUAUGGAUGAAGUAGGCGGAAUUCGUUGUGUAGCGGUGACAUGCUUAGAUAUAACGAGGAACUCCUAUUGCGUAGGCAGCUUACUAAGCCAUAACUGACGCUCAAGCACGAAAGCGUGGGGAUCAAACA
rnacentral:rRNA from 1 species